AGAAGAUUUCAACCAGUGAGCUAAUGGCAAGUGCAAAGGUAGUAGCAGAGGCAGCACAGUCAGGUUUUGGGAAAGAUUUAGACAAAGACAAGACAGCAGAAGCUGCUGGUGAUCUUCUAGAUGCAGUUGGUCAGUAUGCUAAAUUGGAUGAUCAGAAAGGUGUAGGAUCAUAUGUUGAUAAAGCUGCUGAUUAUCUGCAUAAGUAUGAGAACACUACUACUGCUACUCCACCAGCUUCUAAACCUGCAGAUCAGCCCAAAAGUGAUGAAGCUGCUAAGCCUGAAGGUGAAGGAUCAGGUGGGAUUGGUGGACUAGGUGGUGAUUUUGCUAAGGUUGCUGG
rnacentral:lncRNA from 1 species